CUGGAGGUAUCAGAAGUGCGAAUGCUGACAUAAGUAACGAUAAAGCGGGUGAAAAGCCCGCUCGCCGGAAGACCAAGGGUUCCUGUCCAACGUUAAUCGGGGCAGGGUGAGUCGACCCCUAAGGCGAGGCCGAAAGGCGUAGUCGAUGGGAAACAGGUUAAUAUUCCUGUACUUGGUGUUACUGCGAAGGGGGGACGGAGAAGGCUAUGUUGGCCGGGCGACGGUUGUCCCGGUUUAAGCGUGUAGGCUGGUUUUCCAGGCAAAUCCGGAAAAUCAAGGCUGAGGCGUGAUGACGAGGCACUACGGUGCUGAAGCAACAAAUGCCCUGCUUCCAGGAAAAG
rnacentral:rRNA from 1 species